CCUACGGGAGGCAGCAGUAGGGAAUCUUAGACAAUGGGGGCAACCCUGAUCUAGCCAUGCCGCGUGUGUGAUGAAGGCCCUAGGGUCGUAAAGCACUUUCGCCAGAGAUGAUAAUGACAGUAUCUGGUAAAGAAACCCCGGCUAACUCCGUGCCAGCAGCCGCGGUAAUACGGAGGGGGUUAGCGUUGUUCGGAAUUACUGGGCGUAAAGCGCACGUAGGCGGAUUAGUAAGUUAGAGGUGAAAUCCCAGGGCUCAGCCCUGGAACUGCCUUUAAUACUGCUAGUCUUGAGUUCGAGAGAGGUAAGUGGAAUUCCGAGUGUAGAGGUGAAAUUCGUAGAUAUUCGGAGGAACACCAGUGGCGAAGGCGGCUUACUGGCUCGAUACUGACGCUGAGGUGCGAAAGUGUGGGGAGCAAACAGGAUUAGAUACCCUGGUAGUCCACACCGUAAACGAUGAAUGCCAGACGUCAGCAAGUAUACUUGUUGGUGUCACACCUAACGGAUUAAGCAUUCCGCCUGGGGAGUACGGUCGCAAGAUUAAAACUCAAAGGAAUUGACGG
rnacentral:rRNA from 1 species